rnacentral:rRNA from 1 species
UACGUAGGCAGCAAGCGUUGUUCGGAAUUACUGGGCGUAAAGCGUGCGCAGGCGGUUUUGUAAGCCAGAUGUGAAAGCCCCGGGCUCAACCUGGGAAUGGCAUUUGGGACUGCAAGGCUUGAGUGCGGCAGAGGAGACUGGAAUUCCUGGUGUAGCAGUGAAAUGCGUAGAUAUCAGGAGGAAUACCGAUGGCGAAGGCAGGUCUCUGGGCUGACACUGACGCUCAUGCACGAAAGCGUGGGGAGCAAACAGG